rnacentral:tRNA from 1 species
UUAAUUGAAGCUAAAAAGAAGCAGUCCACUGUUAAUGGAAAAAAUGGUUAAACCCAAUUAAA